CGAUUCAGUUUGGUAUUAGCGAUAGAAUUCUAAACAACUUGUUCAUAAAAAUGGAGGUUCUCCCAAAGCUACAAUGAGGAGAUGCUGCUUUGAGAGUUGAGACAUUGGUGAAAACUAAAUGGUAGUAACAUCUCAUACUUCAACCGAAUGGUCAAACUUCAAUGCAGCGAAUUUUGGCUCUGGUACAAGGGAUGAUGUUGCAGGAAACAGAAGCCUAAACACCACCGUAAAGCACUUUAAACAGCACGUUUGUGGAACAUCUGGGGGAUCCUUCCAUUUGCAAUUUGGUGGAACAUUUGGAAGGAAAGAAACGGCAGGCUCUACAACAACAAAAAGAGGAAUUUGGAGUAGCUCAUUGUGUCUGUAGCAUUCACUUUGUUUAAUUGGUCAAGGUAUACAAAACUUUUUGAGGGUUAUUCUUUAAGCACUCUGAUUUGUAAUUGGAAUGCCGUUAUUCAUAGCAGCUAACUGUACUUUUUGCUUCAUUCAUUCCUUUGGUGAGUGAAGUCUCUUUUUCAAUAUAUUU